CUGCGUGUCAGUGUGUCAACUCUUCGACCGCAAGCAACGAUCUUGAAAUUCGUCGAUUUCCGAAAUCGAAAAAAUUCGACUCGAAAAAAGUAGUUGGUUUCCGUGAUUUGGUUUCGGUUAAGUAUUACGCGAGGGACGUAAUAAAGUUGUUGGGUUUAUGGGUUUGGGAGAGUGGCUUUUUUGGGACGAUCCGCUGCUUUGUUUAUGGUAAUUCGAAUUCGCCAAAAAACCAAAAUGGAAAACAAGGCAAGAUCAAGUUUAAUCGUUGCGACAACUGGCUGAGAAUGUCUUCAUGGAUGCCUGUGAGACUCAAAAAAUCCACUUUUUCUUAAUUCCUGCGAAGACUACUUCCAAAAUUUGCUGAUGACAUUAAUCCAAAGAAGUGAACACUACCCAACACUACAACACUUUGCCUCACAAGUUUUUGCACGGACGCGACGCUCUCCGCCGAGGUGCGUGUGCGCCGAUGAGCCUCCGAAAGACAACUGGUAAGUCCAGCAACUAGCGAACUGCUGCCUGCUGGCCUGCUGGCCGCCGUGGCGUCGUCGAAGCGGGGCCACGCCGCGAACCGGAGGGAGACCCGCUAGAGCUUUAACCGAAGAAUGUUUUUGGGCACCUCACUGACUCAUCCAGGUCAAAACGUAGAUAAUACGACGUAGACAUCGAAAAAACCAGCGAUGAUCUCAUCCUGGCUGACCACCCCAACCACCCGAGCGUCACAAUUCACAACCCUUUUCACCGCCCCUCAAUAAACACGCUCCGUAUACAAUAUAUUCGCUUAACAAGCUCGCCGCAGCCA